rnacentral:misc_RNA from 1 species
AGCCGCGGUAAUUCCAGCUCCAAUAGCGUAUAUUAAAGUUGUUGCAGUUAAAAAGCUCGUAGUUGAAUUUCGGGAUCAAUAUGUUGGUCGUGCCUUUGGUACGUACUAGCUUAUUGAUUUCUCCCUUCUGACGAACCAUGAUGUCAUUAAUUUGGUGUCAUGGGGAAUCAGGACUGUUACUUUGAAAAAAUUAGAGUGUUUAAAGCAGGCUUACGCUUGAAUAUAUUAGCAUGGAAUAAUGAAAUAGGACGUUUUGAUUCUAUUUUGUUGGUUUCUAGGAUCGACGUAAUGAUUAAUAGGGAUAGUUGGGGGCAUUAGUAUUCAAUUGUCAGAGGUGAAAUUCUUGGAUUUAUUGAAGACUAACUACUGCGAAAGCAUUUGCCAAGGAUGUUUUCAUUAAUCAAGAACGAAAGUUAGGGGAUCGAAGACAAUCAGAUACCGUCGUAGUCUUAACCAUAAACUAUGCCGACUAGGGAUCGGAUGAUGUUAAUUUUUUAAUGACUCAUUCGGCGCCUUACG